rnacentral:rRNA from 1 species
AGCGAACGCUGGCGGCAGGCCUAACACAUGCAAGUCGAACGAAGUCUUCGGACUUAGUGGCGGACGGGUGAGUAACACGUGGGAACGUGCCUUUAGGUUCGGAAUAACUCCGGGAAACUUGUGCUAAUACCGAAUGUGCCCUUCGGGGGAAAGAUUUAUUGCCUUUAGAGCGGCCCGCGUCUGAUUAGCUAGUUGGUGAGGUAAUGGCUGACCAAGGCGACGAUCAGUAGCUGGUCUGAGAGGAUGACCAGCCACAUUGGGACUGAGACACGGCCCAAACUCCUACGGGAGGCAGCAGUGGGGAAUCUUGCGCAAUGGGCGAAAUCCAGACGCAGCCAUGCCGCGUGGAUGAUGAAGGUCUUAGGAUUGUAAAAUCCUUUCACCGGUGAAGAUAAUGACUGUAGCCGGAGAAGAAGCCCCGGCUAACUUCGUGCCAGCAGCCGCCGUAACAC